UCUAGAUCCAGAAGGCUUAGAUUCUGCUCCUAGUUCUGUGUCUUGUCAACUGUGUGAUACUGGGCAGACCAUUUAACUUCUCUGUGACUCAGAUUCCUCAUGUAACAAAGAGGGCGACAAUCCCUGUAUUGCCCACCCUACAGGGUUGGUGUGAGGAGUAAAUGCAUUGAUGUUUUUGAGGGUAGUUUGCAGACGGCAAUGAGUUACAUAAAUGUGAAGCAUAAUUAUAUAAUUGUUGUUAACAAUAAGCCCUGUACUCAGUUAUGA
rnacentral:lncRNA from 10 species